GAGUUUGAUUCUGGCUCAGGAUGAACGCUGGCGGUAUGCUUAACACAUGCAAGUCGAACGAAGUCUUCGGACUUAGUGGCGGACGGGUGAGUAACGCGUGAGAAUCUGCCUUCAGGUCGGGGACAACGACUGGAAACGGUCGCUAAUACCCGAUGUGCCGAGAGGUGAAAGGUUAACUGCCUGAAGAUGAGCUCGCGUCCGAUUAGCUAGUUGGUGGGGUAAGAGCCUACCAAGGCAGUGAUCGGUAGCUGGUUUGAGAGGACAAUCAGCCACACUGGGACUGAGACACGGCCCAGACUCCUACGGGAGGCAGCAGUGGGGAAUUUUCCGCAAUGGGCGAAAGCCUGACGGAGCAAUACCGCGUGAGGGACGAAGGCCUGUGGGUUGUAAACCUCUUUUCUCAGGGAAGAAGAUCUGACGGUACCUGA
rnacentral:rRNA from 1 species